rnacentral:rRNA from 1 species
UACGUAGGGGGCAAGCGUUGUCCGGAAUCAUUGGGCGUAAAGAGCGUGUAGGCGGCCAGAAAAGUCCGCUGUGAAAACUCGAGGCUCAACUUCGAGCUGUCGGUGGAAACUUUCUGGCUAGAGUCCGGAAGAGGAGAAUGGAAUUCCUGGUGUAGCGGUGAAAUGCGUAGAUAUCUGGAGGAACACCGGUGGCGAAGGCGGCAUCCUGGACCAACACUGACGCUGAGGAGCGAAAAGCCAGGGGGAGCAAACGGG